rnacentral:rRNA from 1 species
UACAGAGGGGGCAAGCGUUGUUCGGAAUUACUGGGCGUAAAGCGCGUGUAGGCAGCGACUGCACGUCGGGUGUGAAAGCCCUGGGCUCAACCAUGGAAGUGCUUUCGAAACUGCUGAGCUUGAGUACGAAAGAGGAUCGCGGAAUUCCCGGUGUAGAGGUGAAAUUCGUAGAUAUCGGGAGGAACACCAGUGGCGAAGGCGGCGAUCUGGGUCGAUACUGACGCUGAGGUGCGAAAGCGUGGGGAGCAAACAGG